UGCCAAAUGGCGCAGGGGUUUGAGUGUUGGACUAGGACUCUGGAGACCAGGGUUCAAUUCCCCGCUCCGCCA